rnacentral:tRNA from 1 species
GCCUGGGUAGCUCAGUCGGUUAAGCGUUUGACUUCGGCUCAGGUCAUGACCUCGCAGUUUGUAAGUUCAAGUCCCACAUCAGGCU